CACAAACCUUGUAGCUCUAUCCCCAGAGAGCUUUGAGGCAGUUCAUCAAAGCCUGGGGAAGGAAGAAUAUGUUGCAAUAUAUCUUUCAUUCUUGCAUCUGAGUAACAAGGAUGAACAAUGCAUGCUUUGUUGUGUAUCUUGAAGCAUGUUAACCUCUGUCUAUAAUUGGGAUAAAUUGUUCCCCAGAGAGCCUAUCUCAGUUUCAGUCCAUGAACUUGCAGAUCCCAUUAGAAGAUUAUGUUAAAUCAAAACUUUCUGGGGCAAAGCCCUCCACUGCGACCAAUGAACUAUCCAAUUGCUAUCAACCAAGUUACAUCCUAUAUGAAUUAGGCCGCCUGGUUCUGUUUUCAUCCCACCCUAGACACUGGGCCUGACCUUGAGGUUUGCUGAAUGCCCUCAGCUGAAGUCAGUGGGAGUGCUUAGCCCUUCUCAGGAGGCACUCAGCACCCUGAAGAAUUGGGCUCUCAAGGAUGUAGGAGGUAUAUCUGUAUAUCUGCUGUGCCCUAAAAUGUAAUUACAGUAUAUCAGAGACCAAGAAAACUGCUUUGCACCUGUUUUAUCACAGGAACAAAAGGCACAGGAGACAUUUGGAAAACA